CUUUGAAAUGGGAAAUUCUUUCCUAGUGCCUCGAACGUAAUAAAUGACUUGAAGUGGGUAAGAAGAGGCUACAAGAAUGAAUGAGUGAGUGAGUGAACGUAAUAAAUGACUUGAAGUGGGUAAGAGGCUACAAGAAUGAAUGAGUGAGUGAGUGAGUGAAUGUAAUAAAUGACUUGAAGUGGGUAAGAGGCUACAAGAAUGAAUGAGUGAGUGAGUGAGUGAAUGUAAUAAAUGACUUGAAGUGGGUAAGAGGCUACAAGAAUGAAUGAGUGAGUGAGUGAGUGAAUGUAAUAAAUGACUUGAAGUGGGUAAGAGGCUACAAGAAUGAAUGAGUGAGUGAGUGAGUGAAUGUAAUAAAUGACUUGAAGUGGGUAAGAGGCUACAAGAGUGAAUGAGUGAAUGAGUGAGUGAAUGGUGGGCAGGAUAUGAGGAGCCUUAAGGAUUUACCUCCAGCAGGGAUGGGGCAAGUGACCAAUGGAGCUCCAAGCAUCUGCGGGAGGUAAACAGCAGAUGUAUAAAAGGAGCCUUCUCGAGAGCCUGCAGGUCUAAGACCACAGCGAUAGGAGGACAGGGCAAGAACCUCUGUUCCAGAAGGAUUGGGACCAGGAAGAAAGCUGCAGAGAGGCAGGCUCGUGCUCACCUGCAGUCAUGCCCAUCUUGCCCACCUGCUGUCUGCGACUAGGCCAACUCCUAAACCUCUCUGAAGCUUAAGACCUGCCACAGUGGGCUGUGCCAGAGUUGGAGUGGAGACUCACUGAGAUCAUCUAGAAGAGGCACCUGCCUCAAAGCCUUCAGGUCUGCAUUGUGUUUUUCUAGGGUCACUCAUCUAUUCAUCCAACAAAUAUUCAACAAGCACCUGUUACAUACCAGAUUAUUACAUACAUGUGGCAGUGCACGUAACUGUGAAGCUGUGUACUACAGCUGCAGGGCGAGGACUGGGGCUUUAGCUCCCACCUUGUGCAAUGUGGGAUCUUCUCCAUCGUCAUAUCAAGCCACCCCACGUGUAUUUAAUGUAAGUUGGAACACUGUGCUUGCUACAAAAGUCAGCUUCAGAAGAAGCCCCUCCGUGGAUCACCACCUCCCUACAAGCUGCAGUCCUAAUCUCCUAUGUCAAAAUCAGGGACUGCUGCUGCCCCGGGGGGUUUAGAGAUGAAGACCCAGACUCUGACUGAGGAGUCUCCCAGUGAAAGGAAGGAGGCAGAAGCCCAGUCACCAGUGACGCCACCCAGCUGAGUGGACCGCGCAGAGGGAGGCGGACGCAGGGCACUCCAACAUGGACCUGAGAGGCACACACUGCAAUGCAAAUCCUCCACGAUAGUCCACAGGAUGUACUGGGAGAAACUGGAAGGCCACAGGAGAAACGUUUGCUCACGAAAACACAGGCAUUUCAUGUGCCUGGAGCACGGGAUGAAGAAUUCCUUAGACUUUGAGUGCCAAGCUAGUGCUUGGACUUUCUUCUAAAGGUCAUGGGUGAGCCCUUGGGGAAUGUGGAGACCACUCCGGCCUGCGAUGGAGAAGGAAAUUGUGCCAGAAGCUGGGAAGUCAAAGUUAACCCUCCAGGCUAGAUCUAGGGAAAGACUUGUCAGCUGUUUCUUCACUUCCAUGACCUUGGAAAAUCCGCUGUCUCCACCAGACACUGAUCCUUGGCACAGCCACUAUUUGAUACACUUAACUCUGCUCAGGAUUUUAGAUCUCAACCCAGGAAAUGAGCUACAGUCUCACCCCAGUGCUUGAAAUAGGUGUGCAAACAAUUCACAUAUUAUAAAUACGUUGACUUGGGCCGGGUGUGGUGGCUCACGCCUGUAAUCCCAGCACUUUAGGAGGCUGAGGCAGGAGGAUUACUUGAGGUCAGGAGUUCCAGACAAGCCUGGCCAACAUUGCAAAACCCUCUCUCUACUAAAGUACAAAAAUUAGCCGGGCAAGGUGGUCCGUGCCUGUAAUCUCAGCUACUCAGGAGGCUGAGGCAGGAGAAUCGCUUAAACCCAGGAGAUGGAAGUUGCAAUGAGGCGAGAUCACAACAACCCACUCCAGCCUGGGCGACAGAGCAAGACCCUGUCUCAAAUAAAUAACUAAAAUGAAAAUAAAUAAAUUGAUUUGUUUUCAUUCAUAUAUUUUGGGGAUACAAUGGAGCUUAAAGUUUGAAAACCAAAACGGAGCUGGCCACCAAAGGUGUGGAUUUGGUCAACAGGGUGUGGACUCCAGCAGCCCGUGUCACUCUCAGACUCCAUGUCUCAAUUUGAAUGUUUCCAUGUCACUUAAAAAGUAGAAUAUUCAUAGUGAUGUUGAAGAUACAAAAGAUAUACCAGGAUUAAUUUUCUAGUCAAUUUUAUGUGUCUGUGACCCAAGACAAUAAAAGUUAAGUCAUCGUUAGUUCCUUAGUUGCUGGACACUUUAGCCCAAUAUACCACCUUCAAUUUUGAAUUAUUAUUUGGACUGUGUUCAUGAGAUUCUUGGAGUAUGUUAAAUCAACACAUUUCUUUGUAAUUAUUGAGAACCUUUUGUUCCCUAUAAAAUCAAGUGUACGAUGAUGUAAACUAUAAAACGCAAAUUGUAGGGACAAUUGGUAAUCUGCAGUGAAAAUAAAGUCAAAAUAGCAAAGAGCAGAUUAUUCUCAAAUUUAUGUAACAGAGUUCUUACAUGUGGAAGUGGAUACAAGUAUUAGCACAUUCAGUUGAUGUACUGAAAAUAAAAUGAAACUAUUUUUCUACUUACUACUUGCUUGUGAAAUCCAAAGGGGUGAAUAAGAGCCAGGAUUCAUUGUCAUGAGUGUAGGGGUGCCCUGGGAAGGAGGCCUCCAUCCCACGUGUCAGUGGCGUCAUCAGAAAUUCCAUGAUCGUCGGCUUAUUCUUUGCACACGUGUCUACAGGGUCCCUCCGCACACCGACUUGGUGUCCUCCAGGAUGCAGAAAACCCAAAUUAAACUAGUUUAAUGAAUAAGGAAACUAAGUGGCUCUUAGGACCAUAAGCCCUGCGGUGACGCCUGCUUCAGGGCUGGAGGAGCUAAGUGUUCUCUGGUUCACCAAAGCCCCCAGUUCUUUCCGUCUGUCACUCAUAGCUUCGGCUUCGUCCCCGGCUCACUGCCAGUGGUAAUCAGGCUGCCCAAGAACUUCUGAAAUCCACAGCCCGGUGUUUCCAAACGAAUUAUCAGUAGGGUUGGAAUCCCUUCUCCCCAGCCCCAGCCCCAGCAAGGCCCUCCAACGCCACUGCAGUUCCCUGGAUAGCAGGAAGAGGCCUGAGCCGGCUCUCCCGGAGCUCCAGGUGCAGAGUCUCCCCACAUGGGAGUCAGUGUUCUCAGAGCAGCAUUUGUUGACCUGAGCUAACCAAGUUCUCUAACUGAAAGCCUGGCUGUGUAAAGCCACAGAUGUCUGGCAUUAGAAUAGCUCAAGGACAGGAGAAAAAACUGACAAUCAGUCCAGAACGGCAUCCCAGGACUUCUGCUCUGAGGAGAAAACAGGACUAAACCCCAGCUGAGGUCUAUUUCCAACUCCAAGAUUCUGCAAUGUUAUCUCUGUUUAAAAAGAUAUCCCACUUUUUGAUGACAGUGUGUCUGGAAUUGGUGGGUUCUUGGUCUCACUGACUUCAAGAAUGCAGCUGCGGACCCUGGCGGUGAGUGUUACAGCUCUUAAAGGCGGCAUGUCCGGAGUUUGUUCCUUCUAGGUGGGUUCCUGGUCUCUCUGGCUCAGGAGUGAAGCUGCAGACCUUAGCGGUAAGCUGUUACAGCUCUUAAGUCAGCGCGUCUGGAGUCGUUCGCUCCUCCCGGUGGGUUCGUGGUCUCGCUAGCCUCAGGAGUGCAGCUGCAGACCUUCGUGGUGACUGCUACAGCUCAUAAAAGCAGUGUGGACCCAAAGACUGAGCAGUAGCAAGAUUUAUUGCAAAAGACGAAUGAACAAAGCUUCCACACGACAGACACAAACCCUAACAGAUUGCCACCGCUAGCUCGGAGAGCCUGCUUUUCUUCCCUUAUCUGGCUCCACCCACAUCCUGCUGAUUGGCCCAUUUUACAGAGAGCUGAUUGGUCUGUUUUACAGAGAGCUGAUUGGUCUGUUUUGACAGGGUGCUGAUUGGUGCGUUUACAAUCCUGAGCUAGACACAAAGGUUCUCCAAGUCCCCACCAGAUUAGCUAGACACAGGGUGCUGAUUGGUGCAUUUACAAACCUUGAGCUAGAUACAGAGUGCUGAUUGGUGUAUUCACAAUCCCUUAGCUAGACAUAAAUGUUCUCCAAGUCCCCACCAGAUCAGCUAGACACAGAGUGCUGAUUGGUGCAUUUACAAACCUUGAGCUAGAUACAGAGUGCUGAUUGGUGUAUUUACAAUCCCUUAGCUAGACAUAAAGAUUCUCCAAGUCCCCACCAGACUCA
rnacentral:lncRNA from 1 species